rnacentral:rRNA from 1 species
CCCUUAGAUGUCCUGGGCUGCACGCGCGCUACACUGGAAGUUACGGAUUGAGAUACUACCUUGUCCGAAAUGGUCCGGGUAAUCACCUAAAAGCUUGUCAUAAUUGGAAUGGAUUAUUGUAACUAGUAAUCCUGAACGAGGAAUUCCUAGUAAGUCCCAGUCAACAGCUGGUACUGAUUACGUCCCUGCCCUUUGUACACAUCGCCCGUCGCUACUACUGAUUGGACGUUUAAGCAAGAUUUUUAAACACUGACAGUGUGUAGUUCACGCUAUACUACAGUGAGAAGAAGAAGAUCGAGCUUACUUGUCUAGAGGAAGUAAAAGUCGUAACA